CUUUAAGCCGAGAACAGUGUUGCUGAAGGACUUUGCUGUGAGGAGCUGAGCUUACGAGUGUGAGCAUAUUGAAUAUUAGGUAAAACUCGGCACAUGCCUGCUGCAUUUCGUGACUGUCACACCAGAGACUGUGCCGCAUGAGUCAUUGAGACACACCACUUCAAGCACACACAAGCUUGGCCUCACCACUUACACACUCUGGUUCGGUCCGACCACUGGAGAGGAGUCCAUCCUGGGGCCCCUGCCUCACGGUCUGUUUCCUGUUUCCUGUUUUCCCCUGUUUCCUCACGGUCAGAUAGAGGUAAUGUCCUGGCAAGAAUGUCCACUGCGAGGAUUAAAGAUGUGGUGAUCCUAAACAUCUCUGCCUCAUUCUCGAUUUUAAAAGCUAAUAUUCUAGUGUUUUCCCAACUUAAGACUACAUUUGCUUAAUUUUUUAUAUGUGCUUUGUAUCAUGCUAAACACAUUCCCUUCUAUUCCUCAUUUGCUGAAAGAUUUCUUUCUUUAACAAUGAACUUACUAUGAUUUUUAAAAAUGUCGUACCUAGAUCUAUCGGAAUGAUACAUAUUUUCUCCUUUAAUAUGGUAGUACAGUAAGUUACAUUUCUAGAUUUUUCUAACAUUAAACCAACUUUGCAUUAAGCCCAGCUUUGUCAUGGUUUAUUAGCAUUUUUAUAAACUGUAGAAUUUAAUUUGCAAGUCCAAUGUUCUAUUUAUGAUUUUUGCUUCUGUAUUCAUAAGUGAAAUGAGACUGUAUUUUUUCCUCCAUCACUAUGUCAUUGUUUGAUGUUGGUAUUGGUGUUAUAAAGUCCUUAUAAACUGA